ensembl:ribozyme RNaseP_nuc Nuclear RNase P
GGCGCACACGAGGGUCUACAGCCCCUAGGAUGGUCUAAGAUUGGAACCUCUUAUGGCCCUAACGGAGAUCUCUGUGAGUGGGGAGCUGAGUUCCCAGAUAGCAGGGCUUCAAGCGCGGACAGACUGGACAGGAGAAGCUCGGAGUGAGCAGAUGUUUCCUUUACAGGAGCAUAAUAGAAUGGACUCCUGGUCACUCAUUUUGUUCAGUAAAUGGCUACCCUUCCUACUGGGAGAAGUGCU